GAUGACCUCUGGCGGCGUGCUUAACACAUGCAAGUCGAACGGGAAACCUUUUAUUGAAGCUUCGGCAGAUUUAGAUUGUUUCUAGUGGCGGACGGGUGAGUAACGCGUGGGUAACCUGCCUUAUACGGGGGGAUAACAGUCAGAAAUGACUGCUAAUACCGCAUAAGCGCACAGGACCGCAUGGUCCGGUGUGAAAAACUCCGGUGGUAUAAGAUGGACCCGCGUUGGAUUAGCUAGUUGGUGAGGUAACGGCCCACCAAGGCGACGAUCCAUAGCCGGCCUGAGAGGGUGAACGGCCACAUUGGGACUGAGACACGGCCCAGACUCCUACGGGAGGCAGCAGUGGGGAAUAUUGCACAAUGGGGGAAACCCUGAUGCAGCGACGCCGCGUGUAGGAAGAAGUAUCUCGGUAUGUAAACUUCUAUCAGCAGGGAAGAAAAUGACGGUACCUGACUAAGAAGCCCCGGCUAACUACGUGCCAGCAGCCGCGGUAAUACGUAGGGGGCAAGCGUUAUCCGGAUUUACUGGGUGUAAAGGGAGCGUAGACGGAUGGACAAGUCUGAUGUGAAAGGCUGGGGCUCAACCCCGGGACUGCAUUGGAAACUGCCCGUCUUGAGUGCCGGAGAGGUAAGCGGAAUUCCUAGUGUAGCGGUGAAAUGCGUAGAUAUUAGGAGGAACACCAGUGGCGAAGGCGGCUUACUGGACGGUAACUGACGUUGAGGCUCGAAAGCGUGGGGAGCAAACAGG
rnacentral:rRNA from 1 species